CAGCACUGGGACAGGCUUUGCCUGUAAAAGGGCUGGUCUGGGGGGACAUCUGAACCCAAUUCGGGAACACCUCACAGGUCUGCCAGCAGGGCUAGACCCUGGGUGAGAUCCAGGGCAACAGGGUCUGCCUGGGAAGCUCAGCUCCGGCACUGCCUGGGGCAUCUCUGCCCACACAGGACCAUUCCUCUCGCCUGGACUCCUCUUGGAGUUUGCCAAGGCUGGCCUCUGCAGAAAUAGGAGACUCCUGGAGGAAGAGAGUGGACUUCAGCAAGCUGCACCAAGGAGAAUCCACAGCGGCAGCUGCCCUGCCAGGCGCGGGAUCUCAGUCAAGGUGGAUCAACACAGCCUCAGGUGUGUGCUGUGCCCCACUGAGAUGGCGAGUGCAUUCUUUUCUAUUCCUAUGAGGAAAGAGCAUCAGAAAGAGCCUGCAUUCACAUAGGAUGAAUAACAGUGGACCUUGGCUUUGCCUCAGUGUUAUGUGCUAAUAAACCAUUUGUUCUAUGCUCUAAGGAAGCCCAGAGAGAGCUGGACAAGCUGGAUAUCCCAAAGAGCAUGACACUGGCCCACCACACUGAUUACAUCGCGCUGGCCGGGUGCUAACCAAGAAGCGGCUAACACACUGGGAGUCUUGGUAAGAUGCCUGAGUGUCUGCAGCUGGCAGACAAACCCUACAAAGAUUCUGGGAACUGCCACUAAUAACACUCUUGGUGGGGAGGUCCCAUAACCAGGAGCAUACUGGGCCUCACGUCCACAGCAAAGAGCCAAUUACUGCAUCUUGCUUCUCCCAUGACCAAGAGAGACAGACAAUGCCAGUACACCUUCUGGAGGCAGCACAUUCCACACACGUGAAGACCACUCCAGUCUACGUACCGUUGAUAUGAGAAGCUGUCGGCCUUCCCUGAGCCUGCAGCAGGUCGAGGCUGCAGUGCGGGCAGCCCUGUGACUCAGGCCCUGCAGCUAGUCAGACCCUGUGUUAUGACAGGUAUCAGACGUGAGAAAGCAAUGCUGUGUGUUUUUGGCAAUCUACUAUGCCAGAAUCACAGUGCAGGCCCCUGGGAUUCAGAAACAAAGCCAUGCCAUCUGUGGCAGAGGAUUCUGCAAAAAAUUCUGAAAAGUCCCUGCUGAUGUGCUCCUGGGGCCUGGGGUGAUGGAAUACCUGAUUGUGCAUGUGGACCUGCUCAGAUGAGCUGGAUUCUGUCACAGCCCUGGGUCAUGAGGUUGGGGACUCAGAAAUAACCCAUCACAGGUGGGAGUGUGCGUGUGGCAGCAGCAGAAGCAGGAGCAGGAGGCCAAGCAGCGGCAGCUGCCCAGUACCCCGCCACCCUCCACAGCAGUCCCCACAGCCCCAGUGGAGGAACCUUCCGGUGAACUGAGGAGGGAGGGACAAGCCCGGCCUCAGGUCAUGGAGGUGUCUGCUCUGCCUGUGGGGCCAGCCCAAAUUGCCUGGCUGCCAUACUCUAGCCUCAGCAAGCUGCCCUUUAAAGAGGGUGAUAUGGUUUGGCUCUGUGUCCCCACCCAAAUCUCAUCUUGAACUGUAAUCCCCAGGUGAUGAGGGUGAGACCUGAUGGGAAGUGAUUGGAUCAUGGGGGCGGUUUCCCCUAUGCUGUUCUCGUGACGGUGAGGGAGUUCUCAUGAGAUCUGACGGUUUUAUAA